GACGAACGCUGGCGGCGUGCUUAACACAUGCUAGUCGAACGCUGAAGCUUGGUGCUUGCGCUGGGUGGAUGAGUGGCGAACGGGUGAGUAAUAAGUGAGUAACCUGCCCUUGACUCUGGGAUAAGCCUGGGAAACUGGGUCUAAUACUGGAUACGACAUGUCACCGCAUGGUGGUGUGUGGAAAGGGUUUUACUGGUUUUGGAUGGGCUCACGGCCUAUCAGCUUGUUGGUGGGGUAAUGGCUCACCAAGGCGACGACGGGUAGCCGGCCUGAGAGGGUGACCGGCCACACUGGGACUGAGACACGGCCCAGACUCCUACGGGAGGCAGCAGUGGGGAAUAUUGCACAAUGGGCGGAAGCCUGAUGCAGCGACGCCGCGUGAGGGAUGACGGCCUUCGGGUUGUAAACCUCUUUCAGCACGGAAGAAGCGAAAGUGACGGUACGUGCAGAAGAAGCGCCGGCUAACUACGUG
rnacentral:rRNA from 1 species